AGGGGUUUGAUCAUGGGCUCAGAUUGAACGUUGGCGGCAUGCCUAACACAUGCAAGUCGAACGGUAACGCGAGGAGCUUGCUCCUUGGCGACGAGUGGCGGACGGGUGAGUAAUACUUAGGAAUCUGCCCAGUAGCGGGGGACAACUCGAGGAAACUCGAGCUAAUACCGCAUACGCCCUACGGGGGAAAGCGGAGGAUCUUUCGGGACUUCGCGCUAUUGGAUGAGCCUAAGUCGGAUUAGCUUGUUGGUGGGGUAAAGGCCUACCAAGGCGACGAUCCGUAGCUGGUCUGAGAGGACGAUCAGCCACACUGGGACUGAGACACGGCCCAGACUCCUACGGGAGGCAGCAGUGGGGAAUAUUGGACAAUGGGGGCAACCCUGAUCCAGCAAUGCCGCGUGUGUGAAGAAGGCCUGCGGGUUGUAAAGCACUUUCAGUAGAGAAGAAAAGCUUACGGUUAAUACCCGUGGAGUCUUGACGUAACCUACAGAAGAAGCACCGGCUAACUCCGUGCCAGCAGCCGCGGUAAUACGGAGGGUGCAAACGUUAAUCGGAAUUACUGGGCGUAAAGCGCGCGUAGGCGGUUUGGUCAGUCGGAUGUGAAAGCCCUGGGCUCAACCUGGGAAUUGCAUUCGAUACUGCUGAACUAGAGUAUGGGUAGAGGGAAGUGGAAUUUCCGGUGUAGCGGUGAAAUGCGUAGAUAUCGGAAGGAACACCCAGUGGCGAAGGCGACUUCCUGGGCCNAUACUGGACGCUGANGUGCGAAAGCGUGGGGGGCAAA
rnacentral:rRNA from 1 species